rnacentral:rRNA from 1 species
AACGCGAAGAACCUUACCUGGAUUUGACAUCCUCUGACAAACGUAGAGAUACGUCUUCUGUAGCAAUACAGCAGAGAGACAGGUGCUGCAUGGCUGUCGUCAGCUCGUGUGGUGACAUGUUGGGUUAAGUCCCGCAACGAGCGCAACCCCUGUCCUUAGUUGCCAGCAUUCAGUUGGGCUCUCUAAGGAGACUGCCGUGGUUAACACGGAGGAAGGUGGGGAUGACGUCAAGUCCUCAUGGCCUUUAUAUCCAGGGCGACACACGUGAUACAAUGGACGGUACAGAGGGAAGCGAAAGCGCGAGCUGGAGCCAAUCUCAAAAAGCCGUUCUCAGUUCGGAUUGGAGUCUGCAACUCGACUCCAUGAAGCUGGAAUCGCUAGUAAUCGCGGAUCAGAACGCCGCGGUGAAUACGUUCCCGGGCCUUGUACACACCGCUCGCGA